GACGGAGGAUGCAAGUGUUAUCCGGGAAUCACUGGGCGUAAAGCGUCUGUAGGUGGUCAAACAAGUCAACUGUUAAAUCUUGAGGCUCAACCUCAAAAUCGCAGUCGAAACUAUUAGACUAGAGUAUAGUAGGGGUAAAGGGAAUUUCCAGUGGAGCGGUGAAAUGCGUAGAGAUUGGAAAGAACACCGAUGGCGAAGGCACUUUACUGGGCUAUUACUAACACUCAGAGACGGAAAGCUAGGGUAGCAAAUGGGG
rnacentral:rRNA from 1 species